rnacentral:tRNA from 1 species
GCCGCAGUAACUCAGUCUGGGAGAGUGCCACGCUGAAGACGUGGAUGUCGCCGGUUCAAGUCCGGCCUGCGGCA